rnacentral:rRNA from 1 species
AUUGAACGCUGGCGGCAGGCCUAACACAUGCAAGUCGAGCGGCAGCGGAAAGUAGCUUGCUACUUUGCCGGCGAGCGGCGGACGGGUGAGUAAUGUCUGGGAAACUGCCUGAUGGCGGGGGAUAACUACUGGAAACGGUAGCUAAUACCGCAUAACGUCGCAAGACCAAAGAGGGGGACCUUCGGGCCUCUUGGCAUCAGAUGUGCCCAGAUGGGAUUAGCUAGUAGGUGGGGUAACGGCUCACCUAGGCGACGAUCCCUAGCUGGUCUGAGAGGAUGACCAGCCACACUGGAACUGAGACACGGUCCAGACUCCUACGGGAGGCAGCAGUGGGGAAUAUUGCACAAUGGGCGCAAGCCUGAUGCAGCCAUGCCGCGUGUAUGAAGAAGGCCUUCGGGUUGUAAAGUACUUUCAGCGGGGAGGAAGGUGUUGAGGUUAAUAACCUCAGCAAUUGACGUUACCCGCAGAAGAAGCACCGGCUAACUCCGUGCCAGCCGCCGCCGUAACAC